GUCAGCUGUCACAGUGCAGAGCAUGAUGGUUGAACUCAAAUGCCGCCAAGCAGAUGACAGGGACAGUUUCCACCUAGUUCAGGAACAUAAGCUAAGGCACUUCAGGGAGCUGGGGAGUAUUUUUAUGUCCCCAAAAUGCAGGAUCUGCCUCCAGUUGAUUUAUCUUUAGUGAAUAAGGAUGAAAAUGCUAUCUAUUUCCUGGAAAAUCCUCUUGGCCUUCAACCAAAAAUGGUUAAAACAGAUCUUGAAGAAGAGCUAGUUGAGUGGGGCAAAAUGGGAGCCUAUGGUCACGAAGAAGGCAGCAUCCUUGGGAUACAGAGAUGAGAGUAUUGUAGGCCUACAGAAGGACUAUAGGAGCCUACGAGAAAGAAAUAGCCCUAGUGAAUGCGCUGACUGUUAAUCUACAUCUUCUACUCCUAUACCAAAUGGUAUAAAAUUCUUAUAGAAGCCAAAGCUUUCUCUUUUAAUCAUUAUACUGUUGAGUCACAGCUACGACUCCAUGGAGUUAACAUUGAGGAAAGGGGAUUAUAAAGCCAAGACGGGGGAGGAAACCUUAAGAAUAAAGGAUAUUGGAUAUCCCUGAAGCAAUUGAGAAGGGAGGAGGCUCAAUUACAGCAAUCCUGUUCAGUGGGCUGCAUUUUUAUACUAGGCAGCUCUUUAAUAUACCUGCUACCACGAAAGCUGGACAAGUGAAGGGAUGUUUUGCUGGCUUGAUCUAGCAUGUACAGUUGGAAAUGCUGAACUCACUUACGUGACAGAAGAGUUGACUUUGCCCACUGGUGUUCCCACAAUAAUUUGAAUGCAGGAGCAGGAGGUCUGGCAGGUACUUUUUCCAUGAAAAGCAUGCCCGUAUGAUUAAAGCUGUGCUGCUGGGGUGGUUUGGCUGUGAACUCAGCACCAGAUUUGAGAUGGAUAACCAACUGCAGUUAAUCCCUGGGGUUAGUGGAUUCCAAAUUUCAAAUCCUCCCAUUUUGUUGGUCUGUUUCUUACAGUUUAGAGAUCUUUAGGCAGGCAGCGAUUAAAGCAUUGUGGAGAAAAUCUAUUUUGCUGACUGGUUAUCUGGAAUACCUGAUCUAGCACUGCUAUGGCAAAAAUAAAGCAGAAUCUAAGAAGCCAAUGGUGACCUGGAGGUGACCAUUACUCCAUCCCAUAUGGAGGAUCAGGGCUGCCAGCUGACACUAACAUUUUUCUGUUCCAAAGAAAGAUGUUUUCCAAGAGGUAGAAAAAAGAGGAGUGGUUUAUGACAAGUGGAAUCCAAAUGUCAUUCAAGUGGCUCCAGUUCCUUUCUAUCAUUCUUUCCAUGAUGUUUAUAAAUUUAUCAAUCUGGGC
rnacentral:lncRNA from 1 species